CCCCAGUGGCGAACGGUCGCGUAACACGUAAGCAACCUGCCCUGAAGUGGGGGACAACAUCCCGAAAGGGGCGCUAAUACCGCAUGUGGUCACGAGUCGGCAUCGACUUGUGUCUAAAGAUUUAUCGCUUCAGGAUGGGCUUGCGGCCUAUCAGGUAGUUGGUGGGGUAAUGGCCUACCAAGCCGACGACGGGUAGCUGGUCUGAGAGGACGAUCAGCCGGAUUGGGACUGAGAUACGGCCCAGACUCCUACGGGGGGCAGCAAUUAGGAAUCUUGCGCAAUGGGGGAAACCCUGACGCAGCGACGUCGCGUGAAGGAUGAAGGCCCUCGGGUCGUAAACUUCUUUUGAGUGGGAAGAAAUUUGACGGUACCACUCGAAUAAGCCCCGGCUAACUACGUGCCAGCAGCCGCGGUAAUACGUAGGGGGCGAGCGUUGUCCGAAGUUACUGGGCGUAAAGCGCGCGUAGGCGGUUAUUUAAGUCUGGGGUGAAAGGUUCAGCGCUCAACGUGAACAGUGCAUUGGAUACUGGAUGACUUGAGUCUGGGAGGGGGAAGGGGAAUUCCUGGUGUAGCGGUGAAAUGCGUAGAUAUCAGGAGGAACACCGGUGGCGAAGGCGCCUUCCUGGCCUAAGACUGACGCUGAGUUGCGAAAGCGUGGGGAGCAAACGGGAUUAGAUACCCCGGUAGUCCACGCCGUAAA
rnacentral:rRNA from 1 species